CCUACGUGUGGCAGCAGUGAGGAAUAUUGGUCAAUGGACGCGAGUCUGAACCAGCCAAGUAGCGUGAAGGAUGACUGCCCUAUGGGUUGUAAACUUCUUUUAUAUGGGAAUAAAAUGUUCCACGUGUGGGAUUUUGUAUGUACCAUAUGAGUAAGGAGCGCCGAACUCCGUGCCAGCAGCGGCGGUAAUACGGAAGGCUCGCGCGUUAUCCGGAUUCAUUGGGCUUAUAGGGAGCGUAGGCGGGCGUUCAAGUGAGCGGGAAAAUCGCGCGGCUCAACCGCGCACCGCAGUUGAAACUGGACGCCUUGAGUUCACAAAAGGCAGGCGGAAUUCAUGGUGUAGCGGUGAAAUGCAUAGAUAUCACGAGGAACCCCGAUUGCGAAGGCA
rnacentral:rRNA from 1 species